UCCCAGAAUCAGGGUGGGAACAGGGUUAGAGGUCCGGGCAGACAACCUGAUGACACACACUGGAGAAGCCCUUGUGCCAUCAGCUUCUUGACUCCUUUGUGUCCAACAGGACAUAGGGACUACCCACAAGCCUGGAACAUUUUCUCUUAGGUCACCUUGAGGAUAAUCACAGUGUAAUCAGAAAGCUGAAGCGACAAGAGACCUCAACCGCACUACCUGGCCGAUAACACAGGAGCUGUCUCAGGAAGAAAGAGAAGGCACGCAGCAAGUGGUGACGGUUAAGAGGAUCCGCCACAGUGCUCGCUACAGGCAAGCUGCCCACGAUGAUGACGGCGGCUACACAGAGCAGCAAGGUCAUUCCCAGCCAAGGAAACACCCAUUGGCCACGGCCUUGACCAACGCAGGGAAGGAAUAUAGAGAGCCUUGGAUCCCAAACACUGGUUCCUGGGACAGUCAAUGUAAUAGGUGGGGAAGGACAGGAACAAGCAAAGAACACCAAGAAGGAGCAACCCAAGGAGCUGAACGAAUGGCUUCCCAAAAUCAAGGUCACAUUUUCCAGCGUUCAUGACAACCUGGUGUACUCAUGUAACAAAGUUCUGAUGACUGGGAGAAGAGAAGAUUCUACAACCUCUGGCAAACAGUUCUCUGUGCUUAGCAACCUCUACCCUGUGAGAAUCCUAGGUGCCAUGUCAAAGCGACCAUUGCAGUUGAAGACUGCUAACCAAAGAUAGAAUGGGAAGAAAAUGACCUAAUUUACCUCGAGAUGACUCCGUAUAAUACUUUGAAUUCUGGAAAACAUCAUGGAACAGUGAAGGCAUCAAAGCACAGCCAGUUCACCAUGUAAUGUUUUCCACAUUAUAUUACUCACGCCUGGAAGAGUCCAGAGGUCACUUGGGUCAACUCUUGAGAGGCUGUGGGAAUUAACCACUGUCACUCAUGGUACCCUUUUUCCAGACUUCUUCCAGUAAGUAAAUCUCCCAGUGGGAUGAAACUUAAUUAUUUGGACCAUGUCUGCUCUGUUACGUAUUCUGCCUUGCCCAUGAUGAAUGCUUUAAUAAA